GAUGAGAAGACUCACCCCUCUCAGCCAGCCCACGGUGACAGAGAGGCCUCGUUACCUGCCAGGAAUGAUCUCACUGGGUAGAGAGAGGUUUGCAUUGGUCUCUUUCCUGAAAAGCUCCAGAAACAUAGCCUUUUCCAGAGCAGCGCCAAGCAAGUGCAGACUGUGAACCAACUGUGACUUCAGAUCAUAAUUCAGGAGAGCUGCUACCUUUGCCCCCAUGGACUUCAUAAAGCAACCAAGCGCUCGGGUCUCGGGCUUCUGCACGCUGUCGCUGAACUGCUGUCCACCUACCUUUACUUUUUGCAGCUAGCAAUUAUGCCCUCCUGGCUUCCAGCUGCCAGAGAAGUGGAAACAGUUAAUGAGGGGCAAAGUGUGGAAAGUAACGUAUGUGACGAAGGAGGACAGAGCGCAGAGCAAAUGCCAGAGGCUGAAAUCAAAUACGCACCUAUCUUCCGCAGCUAUUUCUCCCAAGAAAAAUGAUGGUCAAUAAUGUGUGUAAAAUUAAAAUCACUAUUACCCUUAA